UCUUACUAAUAAAAAAUCACUAUACAUGCGUUAUGACAAGGUGAUAGUAAUUCAGUGAAUAGAGCUUGUACAGGGCAUAAACUCCUCUUUGACCAAUAAUCGAUGUGUAUUGGUUGAAUAACAAAACGACCCUUAUUUAUUGUUACCCUGGCAACCCGCCGUGUUUGAUUGACGUUUGAUUUAAUAAUUUUGAUACGACUCAUAAUUCUAAUGUAAGUUGUAUUUAUUUUAUCAACCAAAGCAAUUAUAUACACAUUUACUCAAUAUACUAAUAACAUUUUAUUAUUUGCAGCUAAUAGAAACUCCAAAACCUCAGACAAAGAGGACUAGAAUUUUACAUAAAAAGCCGCGUUCUGCAGUACAAAAGUUAGAAGAGGCAUCUCAAAUAGUGGAAAGUGCCAAACUCCGCAACACGGUAGUGUUCCAGUGUUUCCAGGAAGAGCACGAAACAAAACAAAGGCAGAUGGCUGAAACACAUGAGCUCAAACAGAAGCGACUCGCCGAAGCUCACGAAAGGGCUAGACAGAAGCAUCUUCUAAGGCUCAAAUUGUUACAGCAGCAAUUAAAUAAAUAAUUAUAUACUUAUAAAAAAAAUAAAACCCCCGUUUUAAAUGAAA